CCACCCUGCCAACAAGUGCGCAUGCGCCACAGUAUUUAAUCUUCCCAGUGAGUUAACCUGCAACACCUUUUGACAGUAAAAUGUUUAGACAGAAGUUUUAAAUACAACGUUUAACUUGUCUUUUGGCAUUUCGUGUGAAGUUCAGAAGGUGCGUGUACGCUUUUUUUUAAUUCGCCCGGCUCAGAAAGUUACUUUUAUGACUUUUUUUGGGUCAAAAGGCUCAAAAGCUAGUUCCGCCUUGCUUUCUCCCUGUGAUGGACAGCAGCGACAAGUGUCAAAAGUAAUCAAGGGUCAACAAGAUACAGGGAAAACAGGUCUCCUGCUUUUUGGAUACAUUUCAACACAAGUUAAACGGUUACCAGAAAAGUGGUGAUGACUGUGUCCUGGCAAAAGGAGUGUCAUUAUCACUUUUCUGUUUAGUUGUCCUGCUGGAACCAGAAGUCACAGCCAAACUGCAAGGACAGCAUUUUUGAAGAUCCAAGAUCAGUGAUCUUCAGUAGAAGAGCUGCUGACUGCUGAGCUUCGGACACUGUGAUGGAAAAUCCUGGUAAUAAAAACUCUUUUUAUUGAUACUGCAAUUUAACAUUUGUUAACAAGCUUUCAUACAAAGACAACACAAAAAUAUAAAAAAAUCCUGAAUUGACUGUAGUGAGACUAAUGUUAUCGCAACUGUAGUAUCAUGAUGACAGAAAGUGGUGAGUCAACAAACACUGUGCUUUGGUAUGAAGCUGUCCAUUAAGGGGUUGGCCCUGUGACGCAUGGUGCUGUUGACACUGUGGCUAUCUGAUUGGCCCUCACCCAGAGGACACACCUGUAGUUGCCGGUUUCUCUCACAGCCA